rnacentral:tRNA from 2 species
GCCCGGGUGGCGGAAUGGUAGACGCAGCGGAUUCAAAAUCCGCCGCCAGCAAUGGCGUGGGGGUUCAAGUCCCUUUCCGGGCACCA